rnacentral:rRNA from 1 species
UACAGGGGGUGCAAACGUUGCUCGGAAUCAUUGGGCGUAAAGCGCACGUAGGCGGUUCGUUAUGUCGGAUGUGAAAGCCCUUGGCUUAACCGAGGAAGUGCAUCCGAAACUGGCGAGCUAGAGUACGAAAGAGGAUCGCGGAAUUCCCGGUGUAGCGGUGAAAUGCGCAGAUAUCGGGAGGAACACCAAUGGCGAAGGCAGCUCGCUGGGACGUGGACUGACGCUGAGACGCGAAAGCG